rnacentral:rRNA from 1 species
GACGAACGCUGGCGGCAUGCUUAACACAUGCAAGUCGAACGGGACCGCCGUGCUUUUUUGCGCUGCUCGACGGGAGAACGGGUGAGUAGCACGUGAGUAACCAGUACCUCCCUGUGGGGUAACUUCAGGCCGCUGGGGCUAAUACCGGCUAGGAGCUCCUGCUGCAGGGUGGGCGCUGGUUGGUUUCGGUGGUUGGUGGUGGACUAGCGGCCUAUCAGGUUGAUGGUUGGGUAGUGGCUUAGCAAGGCCUGGAAGGGUAGCCGGCCUGAGAGGGUGACCGGCCACAGUGGGACGGAGAUACGGCCCAGACUCCUACGGGACGCAGAAGUGGGGAAGAUUGCACAAUGGGAGGAAGCCUGAUGCAGCAACGCCGCGUGCGGGAUGACGGCCAUCGGGUUGUAAACCGCUUCCGCCUUUGACGAAGCGUGAGUGACGGUAAUGGGUAAAUAAGCACCGGCUAACUACGUG